AUUGAACGCUGGCGGCAGGCUUAACACAUGCAAGUCGAACGGUAGCAGGAGAAAGCUUGCUUUCUUGCUGACGAGUGGCGGACGGGUGAGUAAUGCUUGGGAAUCUGGCUUAUGGAGGGGGAUAACUACGGGAAACUGUAGCUGAUACCGCGUAGAAUCGGAAGAUGAAAGUGCGGGACCGCAAGGCCGCAUGCCAUGAGAUGAGCCCAAGUGGGAUUAGGUAGUUGGUGGGGUAAAGGCCUACCAAGCCUGCGAUCUCUAGCUGGUCUGAGAGGAUGGCCAGCCACACUGGAACUGAGACACGGUCCAGACUCCUACGGGAGGCAGCAGUGGGGAAUAUUGCGCAAUGGGGGGAACCCUGACGCAGCCAUGCCGCGUGAAUGAAGAAGGCCUUCGGGUUGUAAAGUUCUUUCGGUAUUGAGGAAGGUUGAUGUGUUAAUAGUACAUCAAAUUGACGUUAAAUACAGAAGAAGCACCGGCUAACUCCGUGCCAGCAGCCGCGGUAAUACGGAGGGUGCGAGCGUUAAUCGGAAUAACUGGGCGUAAAGGGCACGCAGGCGGUUAUUUAAGUGAGGUGUGAAAGCCCCGGGCUUAACCUGGGAAUUGCAUUUCAGACUGGGUAACUAGAGUACUUUAGGGAGGGGUAGAAUUCCACGUGUAGCGGUGAAAUGCGUAGAGAUGUGGAGGAAUACCGAAGGCGAAGGCAGCCCCUUGGGAAUGUACUGACGCUCAUGUGCGAAAGCGUGGGGAGCAAACAGG
rnacentral:rRNA from 1 species